rnacentral:rRNA from 1 species
GACGAACGCUGGCGGCGUGCUUAACACAUGCAAGUCGAACGAAGUGGCUAACGGGUGAGUAACGCGUACUCAACCUGCCCUUCAGAGGGGGACAACAGUUGGUAACGACUGCUCAUACCGCAUACUGAAGGCUGGGAUUGCGUCUGAUUAGCUAGUGGGAGGGGUCACGGACCACCAAGCCGAUGAUCAGUAGCCGGUCGGAGAGGAUGAAGGGCCACAUUGGGACUGAGAAACGGCCCAGACUACUACGGGAGGCAGAAGUGGGGAAUCUGCGGCAAUGGACGAAAGUAGGACGGAGCAACGCCGCGUGAGGGAUGACGGCCUUCGGGUUGUAAAGCUCUGGUAAUCGGGACGCGGUACCGGAAUAGAAAGCCACGGCUAACUACGGGCCAGCAGCCGCGGUAAUAC